AGCGGGGAAUUCUGGGAAAUGUAGUUCGGUUAUCUCGCGGUGGGGAGCCACAAGAGCUCAGUGGUCCUCGUUAUGGAACCAGAAAUAUGCUGUGACUAGGACAAUAGUAAAAGCAUUGGGAUCUGGAGGACACAUGGAUUUGAACCCUGCCACAUCCUAUUCCCAUCCCAGGGAAUGCAUUGGCAACCCUUAGCCACCAGAGGGCAACACAAACAGCAUUCCUUGGUUUCCUGUGAUAGAGCUAAGAAGGCUACAGCAAAAAAAAUGUCAUUUGGAAAAUAAAUCAAUU